rnacentral:rRNA from 2 species
UGGGGAAUAUUGCACAAUGGGCGCAAGCCUGAUGCAGCCAUGCCGCGUGUGUGAAGAAGGCCUUCGGGUUGUAAAGCACUUUCAGUCAGGAGGAAAGGUUAGUAGUUAAUACCUGCUAGCUGUGACGUUACUGACAGAAGAAGCACCGGCUAACUCCGUGCCAGCAGCCGCGGUAAUACGGAGGGUGCGAGCGUUAAUCGGAAUUACUGGGCGUAAAGCGUACGCAGGCGGUUUGUUAAGCGAGAUGUGAAAGCCCCGGGCUCAACCUGGGAACUGCAUUUCGAACUGGCAAACUAGAGUGUGAUAGAGGGUGGUAGAAUUUCAGGUGUAGCGGUGAAAUGCGUAGAGAUCUGAAGGAAUACCGAUGGCGAAGGCAGCCACCUGGGUCAACACUGACGCUCAUGUACGAAAGCGUGGGGAGCAAACAGGAUUAGAUACCCUGGUAGUCCACGCCGUAAACGAUGUCUACUAGAAGCUCGGAACUUCGGUUCUGUUUUUCAAAGCUAACGCAUUAAGUAGACCGCCUGGGGAGUACGGCCGCAAGGUUAAAACUCAAAUGAAUUGACGGGGGCCCGCACAAGCGGUGGAGCAUGUGGUUUAAUUCGAUGC